UUCGAAUUUCCUCACUGGUGAGCAGGGAGGCAUUGGCACUAGCAGAUAGGUUGGCACAAAAGAUAUGAUUCUUAUAUAUGGACUGGGGAAAUAUCCCAAAACAGAUUAUCCUGUCAACUGUUUUUCAAUGUGGAAUUUGUUCCUGAAAAAAAACUACGAGGAAAUGAUAUUCCCAGGGGAUUUAUGCUCACCUUGCCCUGGGAUGGCAACAAGAGCCCCUCCCGAGGAGGCAGUAAAGGAAAUCUCUUCAGCUAAGAACUUCUUGUUUCCAUUUCGCAUACGUUGAAAAGAUCUACAUGUGAGCGAUCUUGACUUGCAUGCAGAACUGUAUUUGCAAAACUAGCUUUUGGAGGAAUAAACUUGACUCACUGGAAAUGAUCCCAUGGAAAUUCAUUAGCAUUUCAAAACAACUAGCCACAAUGCAGACCUCCAAAAUUCUCUCAUGACAAAGCAGAUUACAAAAUCUUGUAACUCCUGGUGCUUCCAAUCAUCAGUACCACUUUUUGUUUCUGCCUUCCCUCUGCUAAGACCCUUCCCUGGAAUGUGCCCACUUGACAACGUGUAACUGAGAACAAGUGGUUUUAGCACUCACCUUUUUAAUCCAAGCACUUCCUAGUCCCGUGUAGUGACAAUUAAGUUGCAACUAACAGUUUUUAAUUUAGUUGAAUUUUUUUUUUAAUUUGAAUUAAAACCCAGGCCACAUCCUGC